rnacentral:lncRNA from 1 species
UUUCUUUUCCUUCGGGGGUGACCUGGAGACACUAUCCUCUUCACUCAAAAUAUCGGCACACACAUACACCCAAUCGCACACACACGCGCAAUCCUCUCCCUUCACAGCUUACUCAAAAUCGCACACUAAUCCGUACAUACCUAAAAAAAAAAUAGAGCCGAUUGAGAGAGAGGGUGACGAAUAGAGAGAGAUAUAGUUAUUUUGGUUUUGGAUUAUUGUUUUGGCGACACAGUCGUCGAAUUUAGACAUUUUCCGUCAGCUUAUUCCCUUCACGGCUCACUGGAGCUUAGAUUCAGACUGGUUUUGAGCUCUCAGUUAGACUUCGGAGAUGUUAGUUCUCGUUUGCUCGUCAUUCGUCUUCCGAUAUCGUGCCUUUGAAGGUUUUUGAUAUCGGGACGGUCUGUUUUUCGGUUGCUAUUUUGUUGUGGUUUCAUCGGUCUUCGCUACUAAUUUGAAGAUUAGAAUCUCAUUCGUCUCGAAUCGUUAAUCGCGAUCAAUUUUUGGUCUUCAAUCUUCGAUACCAAAUCUGGGGUUAUCGCAUUUUGGAUUGUUUCUCGAUUGAUUUGGAGAGUCGAGAUUUCGUUGGUAUUCUUCGAGGUUCUUGGACGGGCUCUUAUUUCUCUUAUUAAAUCAAUCGAAAGCUCCUGAGGUCCAAUUCUAACUUUUCUCUUUUUGAUUUUCUCGUGAUUACGAAUGAUUUGUAUGUUUGGGCAUAUUUGAAUCCUCGUUGUUUGUUUGUUUGACGUUGAAUUUAGAGUUGAAAACUUAAUUGAUAAAUUGUGUUUAGAAUUGGCUUAAUCAUUAAGUAGGAAUUUGGAGAGGGAAUCGGAAAUCUAUAAAGGGUGAAUUUUGGCUAAUUUGAUUCGUGGGUUGUUGUUUGACUUAGAAUGCAUUACUCGAACUUUAUGGUAGCAUGUUUUAGGUCGAGAUAGAAUAGACAAAUUUUAAGUUGGAUAGGCAAAAGUAGGAAUCGUGCAUAGUUGAAUGAUUUCAAAUGUUUGUGGAAUAGUUUAUUUUUCUCGCAUUUGAAAAAUGUAUUUAUUCGUCGGGGAAUGCCUCGAGGUCACAUUGUACUUAUUCAUCAGGGAAUGCCCCGACGUAUUAUGUACUCGGAGGAAGUGCGUGAUGAAGGCCCGAGACAUCGGGUAAAGCCUUGGAGCGUAGUUUAGGAUUAGUGUAGGUUUACUUUUCAGUUCUUUUUUUUUAUCUCAGGUUGUAAUAAUUGAACUGGACACUAUAAUUUUGAAUUUUUUUUGUUUGUUUGAUUGAUUUGUGUAUUUUUUUUGUGUGGUUUAUAUAUUCAUAAUGUGAAAAUUAGUCGAUACGCUCCACCAAGUGACCGUGGUCGAACUACGGGAUCGAGGGGUGUCUAACACCUUCCUCUCGGUCAACAGAAUUCCAUAGCCGGAAUCUCUGUUCGCGGAUCAGUGUUACAGAGUCAAAACCAUUUUUUUGAAAAAAGAUAUCCACGGGUGACUUGGCACACCCGAUUUAUGUCAAGUGGCGACUCUGAGUUUUGAAUGUAAAUAAUCCUUUUCGAAAUCAAUCUUCAUUUUGUCACUUUAAUAAUAAAAACCCUUUCGAACUAAAUUCUAACCUUUUCAAAAAAAAUUUAAAAAAAAGGGUGUGACAACUAACACCCUUGAGUCUAGAUCUAAGUUAAGCUUGAACAUUGUUGUUGGUAUUGUUGUUACGGUUUCAAGAACUUGAAUAUUGUUGAUGUUGUUGUGUGAACCAAAACUUGAAGGUGGUUUGAGCUCGUGUUGGUAUUUUGUUGUGGUUUUUAAGCUUGAAAAAGGUGGUGUUGAUUGUCGGAGGUUCAACGUGAGGCUAAGUUUUCAAACUUCUAUUGAAAGUUCUUGUUGUUCUAGACUAUCUUCAUGUCUAGUUGCAAAAAACCUGUUCAAUAGUGUUGUUUGAUCCAAAAGCCAAGUGGAAAGAAGUGAGGCCUUUGUUAGUCUUUAAAACAAAUCCCAAAAGCCUACCAAAAGGGAAAGGGGAACAAAAAGAUCUACAAAAGACUUAGUACUAAAAGAGGAAAAAAAACACUUUUCUAGGUGUCCAAAAUAGGAAAGGGCCAAAGGUGUCUUGUCCAAAAGGUAUAAGACAAGUCAAACCUUUUUGAAUAUGAAAAAGGGCUCCAAUCUUGAUAUUUUUCUUCCCCAAGGUCGGAAUACACUUCUUCAGGAAUUGAAAAUUGAACCAAAAUUUCAGAGUUGGAAAAAUAAAAACCUUUCAAAAACCGCAACCAAUCCUAGACCGCCACAUCACCUAUUUUUGUACAAUACCGAAACUUAGGGCUCAAAAUCUUGGAUUCUUAGUUUCUUAUUUUUGAUUCUUAGUUUCAUUUUUUUAUUCUUAUACUUAUUGGCAACUAGUAAAUAUCUACUAACUUGUAAAUUAAUUUUUGAAUAUGUUUCUUUCGUGUCUUCGUUAUUUGUGUGCUUUUCUCGUUUGUAACUGUAGUAACUUCUUUAUUUCAAGUUCAUAAGUGAACUUUGUUUUGUGUCUUGAGUCAAUUAAAACAAGAAUUCAUUCUGACCGCCAAGUAGGAUUGACAUCUUAUUGACUAUCGGAGUAUUAAGCAACUUUCAAUAUUUGCCGCUCCAAUUGUGAGAAUCACAAAGGUGGGUGUAUCGAGUGUUGGUAAGGAGCUUUUUGUUUUCUUUUGUUUGUUAUUGUCUUUUUUUUUUGGUUAGGUACCAUGGAUGCACAUAAUUUCAAGGCCACGUGUGAUCGCAUCCAUGACGAUCUUGAAGAUAUGAAACAACACAUUGAAAUGAUACGUCAAUUGUUAUCCAAACUCUUCCCUCAAAAUCCAAUUGUCCAAACAACUUGCGAUAAGAGCUUUCUGAAGGAAGUUGCUACCCAAUCUUGUGAUGGACUUUCACACCGAGGUAAAGUCGAACAUACUCAUGAACGUCAAGGUAAAAUAGCUAGCCCUUACAAUUUUGUGUAUGUGAAUGAUAAUUGUGUGGCUAGUAGUCUAUUGAGUGUGAGUUAUAGCUUGCCUAUAUGUGAGUCUAUUGUUUCUUUGUCACUUGAUGAUGAUGUACUUGUUGUGAGUGUGGAUACACUAGUUGAUCCUAUUGAUGACCGAAUUGACUCUUCUUAUAAGAUCGAUUUAUGUCCACCUAGUGUUGAAAUCAUUGUGUUGAAUGAAAGUACACCGUCUUGUGAAAUUUAUGGUGAAUCAACUUUUGUGUGAAAAUUGUCUACCACUUAAGGAUGUGUGUGAUGUGAUUAAUGAAUCGUGAUAAUGUUGAAAAUAUUGAUCAAAGGAAUAGGAGUGAACCCGAGAGCUAUUCUUGGGAUAAUCUUGCACUUGAAAUCUCUUUGAAACUUGAUAUUAAUCUUUUAGAGAGUGAUGAACGUGUUUGUUCCGAAUCUGUCCGUGAAAUAAAUCAUACUCUCUAAAAGUAUAAUGUCUUGUUUGAAGAUAAUAUAACCACUCCUAAUAAACCUAGUGGUGGAAAUGAUGGUAUACCUUGCCUUAGAAGCUAUAGUCGAUAUGUUAAUCCACUAUGGUGUGACAACAUUCCUCCUAGAAAGAUAAGAGUGCUCUUAAGGGUAAGGAAUGUGUGGUUUUAAAAACUACUUCUCCUUCUACUUUAUGUGACUUUAUUAUUGAGAGUACUCGUAAUGAUGAUUGUGAAAUUAAUAGUAAGUACACACAUGAGGGCGCCUUAGUAGAAAUCAACUUGAGUGAUACCUUUCUCUACUUUCUAGUUGCUCUAGAUAAUAUGUAUGCUAUUGUAGAGAGUAUGUCGUUUAUUUUGGGUGAAGACCACGAAAAAGGAGAGUGUUAUUUAAACCCGUAUCUAUAAUCACUCUUCCGUUUGACCCCGAUGUCAAAUAUAGAAUUGGUGAUGAUGAUGCACCCAACUUGUUGAUUAGUUUACAUAACAAGCAAAGUAUAUCUUUAGUAUAGAGCUUAGAAAAAUCAAUAUUAUUCUUUACUUAAAAAGAAUGAAUCUUGAAGUGAAUUGAUUACCUUAACAAUCACCUAAGAGUGUGAUUUUAAUUAUUACAUUCAUUAGGAGUUAAUAUUGAAAUAUACUUAAUUCUUAAUUUUGUAAUAAUAUUGAUCUCACUAUCUAUUCUUUCAUUAUUUUGUAAAUUCAUGUGUUUUUUGUGUUUGUCAUCUUGUUGUUCUUCUCACAUUUUGUGGAUUGUUUUGAUAUCUUGAUGGACUGAUUUAUAUCACCUUGGAAGCAAACUCAGGAUUUAAAGUCUCCGAGUGAUUGAAACGAUAAAUUUACUUAACACCUUAAAGACUCCGAAUUCUGAAUUCGGUUCUGGAUCCAAAGGUAUAGUAGCCAUGAUAUUUUUUUCAAAAGAACAGAAGUAAACGGAUCCAACUCCCCAUCAUUUCCUUUCUCUCCCUUUACUGUUUGAAUUAGUGACAUAGGAUCCGAAGUAAACAAGCUACAUCCAACAGUAUUUUCUACAUUACUAAAAAUAAACCUCACAAUACUUGUUAUUAAUUUUUAUUUGCUCUAAUUAGAUUAAACGUGACAACCCUCAAUAAAUCUCUUAUCAAUAUUUAACAAUUUAAAAAUAACACACACAACCUACAUGGAAUAAAUAAAAAAAGAAAAUUGGACAGAAUGCCGAAAGAUUCUUUUCUCAAUUUGGUGAGUUAUACUCACUAAUUUUCUUAUUUGAUUCUCCAUUUUACUUAUUUUUUUAGUAAUUAAGAUAAAACAAAUUUUUUUCAUAUUUUACUUUUGUAGGAUAUUAUUAAUUAUUUUUCUUAAUUAAGAUGAAGAAAAUAUUAGAUUUCUUUUGAGUAAUGUCUGCUCCAAAUUAUCAUUUUUUUUUAUAAGAUUCCUCUCAAAUUAUGUCCGAUCCUAAUUAUCCAGGAAACAAAAGUCAUUUCUGCCUGAAGAGGCAACACACAAACAGAAUACCAGAAGCAUUACACUGCAUUAAACACCAACCAAACAAUAUCAUGCCCAUACAAUUACCCCAAAUUACCUUUUCAUAAUACUUGCAAAAACUUGAAAAACAUAACAAAAAAGCAUAAAGAGCAAGACACGAGUACUUCUAGAUAGAUCCCUACCAUUUUAUUUGUACUAACAUAUAAUUCCACUAACCAUCAAACAUAUCCAGAAAACAGAGCAACAUGUUUAACAUUUCAAGCAACUUUAACCUCAUCCAGAAAACAGAGCAACAUGUUUAACAUUUCAAGCAACUUUAACCUCAUCCAGAAAACAGAGCAACAUGUUUAACAUUUCAAGCAACUUUAACCUCAUCCAGAAAACAGAGCAACAUGUUUAACAUUUCAAGCAACUUUAACCUCAAUUGUUUUGGGCUUCUUUGGUUCAGGAGGCGGCAACUUCUGAACAGUGACGGUUAACACCCCAUCCUGACAAACAGCAGAAAUUGCACCAGUAUUAGCAUUCUCUGGCAGAGUAAACUUCCUCAUGAAUUUCCCAACCCUUCUCUCCAUUCUGAUAUACUUUGCACCUUCUUUCUCUUCUUCCCUCUUCCUUUCUCCGCUAAUAAGAAGCACAUUUUCCUCUUCCACCUGCACUUUGAUGUCUCCAGAUUUCAGCCCCGGCAUAUCAACGACGAAAACAUAGGAAUUAGGAUACUCUUUCACGUCUGCUGGUGUGGCAGCCAUGGCUUUAGCAUCACGAAC